rnacentral:rRNA from 1 species
CCCGACGUCUGGCAUUCAUCGUUUACGGUGUGGACUACCAGGGUAUCUAAUCCUGUUUGCUCCCCCACACUUUCGCACCUCAGCGUCAGUAUCGAGCCAGUAAGCCGCCUUCGCCACUGGUGUUCCUCCGAAUAUCUACGAAUUUCACCUCUACACUCGGAAUUCCACUUACCUCUCUCGAACUCAAGACUACCAGUAUCAAAGGCAGUUCCGGGGUUGAGCCCCGGGAUUUCACCUCUGACUUAAUAGUCCGCCUACGUGCGCUUUACGCCCAGUAAUUCCGAACAACGCUAACCCCCUCCGUAUUACCGCGGCUGCUGGCACGGAGUUAGCCGGGGUUUCUUUACCUGCUACUGUCAUUAUCAUCACAGGCGAAAGAGCUUUACGACCCUAAGGCCUUCAUCACUCACGCGGCAUCGCUAGAUCAGGCUUGCGCCCAUUGUCUAAGAUUCCCCACUGCUGCCUCCCGUAGGAGUCUGGGCCGUGUCUCAGUCCCAGUGUUGCUGAUCAUCCUCUCAAACCAGCUAAAGAUCGUAGACUUGGUAGGCCAUUACCCCACCAACUAUCUAAUCUUACGCGGGCCGAUCCAAAUCCGAUAAAUCUUUCCCCCGAAGGGCGUAUACGGUAUUACUCUUCGUUUCCAAAGGCUAUUCCGUAGAUCUGGGUACGUUCCCACGCGUUACUAACCCGUCCGCCGCUCCACCCGAAGGUAGCGCUCGACUUGCAUGUGUUAGGCGUGCCGCCAGCGUUCGUUCUGAGCCAGGAUCAAACUCU